rnacentral:piRNA from 1 species
UACACAAGGUAAGUAAGAUGUUUAGGUGG